rnacentral:rRNA from 1 species
UACGUAGGUGGCAAGCGUUGUCCGGAUUUACUGGGCGUAAAGGGCGUGCAGGCGGUCUGUUAAGUGCAGGGUGAAAGCUCCCGGCUCAACUGGGAGAGGUCCUUGCAUACUGGCGGACUUGAGGGGGGUAGAGGAAAGUGGAAUUCCCGGUGUAGUGGUGAUAUGCGUAGAUAUCGGGAGGAACACCUGUGGCGAAGGCGGCUUUCUGGGCCCUACU